ACAAUUUCUGGUUGGAUUCUAAUCUGUUCGUGGUUUGUAGCCGUUGAAAUUGUGCUAUUCAAUUCGAUCGUCUUCGCAAUCGAGAUGAAUGGAGGGCACGGAUACAUCGAGUUAGGGCAUGAGCACAUUUAAUUACAAUAGAAAACCUCGAAAGACAAGAAAUCAGGAACAACAAUGGCGGAUGAAUCGCCGGUAGGAGAAGAGCCGCUCCAACCAACGACAACAUUGUUUCCUGUCUUCAACCAAAAACCCUCAACACCGUCCGACCCAAUAAAUCUUCUUCAACUCUCCAAAUCCGAUGCACCUGAUUGGCUCAGCAACACCAGCUUCACCGCCGACCUCUCAACCAUCAACACCGUCGUAUCCUCUCGCCACGACCAUUGUAGUGAACCCGAAGAAGAAGAAGAACAAGAAGCAGCAGCAAAACAAGAAGAAAGGCGGCCGGGGGCUGGUUACGAGUUGGUGGACUCAUCAGUAUCGGAUCAGGACCUUGACGAGAGUAGCCGGAGUAGCAACAAGAAGGAGAAACGGAAACGUAGAAAGAGGAAGAAGGGAGCGCACAGUGAUCACGAAUAUGGACCUUCAUCUAGGAAGCAGAACAUUCAAUCUUGGGCAAAUAAUGCGUCCAAUUCAUCUGCAAAUAAAGAAUAUUACUUCGAUUCUCGCGGUGAUCGUGAUAAUUUGGCUUUUGGUUCUCUUUACAGAAUGGAUGUUGCGCGUUACAAAUUAUUUGACGGAAGCAAGUCUUCUGGGUUUAACUACGAUGCAUACCGAUGUCAGAAUAUGAGGAAUUUGGAGUUUGAUAGGGAUACCGAUGUAAAUGCAUUAGAAAGCAAACUUAGGUCCGAAGGUCGUUACUGGUCUGCUAAGUAUGCUGCAUUGGAGCACCAUAAGAACUUUAAGCGGUUUAGAAUUGUUGCUCCUAAAGAAUCAGCCUCAGAAAUUGGUGCUGAUUUCAUACCAUUGCCAGAUGAGCCAACUUCUUCUGAUGGUCAACAAAGAGAUUCAUCAGUAGUUGAGGAAUCAUGGGAAGAUGAGGUGUUACGUAAGACAAAGGAGUUCAAUAAAAUGACUAGGGAGCAGCCAUAUAAUGAAAAGAUUUGGUUAGAAUUUGCCAACUUCCAAGAUAAGGUUGAAAGCAGGCAGCCACAAAGAGGUGCUCGUUUACAAACACUGGAGAAGAAGAUCAGCAUAUUGGAGAAGGCAGCGGAGCUCAAUCCCAAUAAUGAGGAAUUGCUUCUAGCUCUUAUGAAUGCAUAUCAAAGAAGAGACAAUAAUGAGGUCUUGAUUGGUAGAUGGGAGAAGCUACUUACGCAUCAUUCAGGGAGUUACAAGCUGUGGAGGGAGUUUCUGCAUCUUGUCGAGGGGGAUUUUUCCAGAUUCAAGGUUUCCGAAGUAAGGAAGAUGUUUGCCAAUGCGAUACAGGCUUUGUCAGCUGAAUGCAGCAAGCAGCAUAGGCAGGUUCUCCAGAAUGUUAAAUCCUCUGCUGACCCUCUUCUGGUCCAACAAGAACUUGGAUUGGUUAAUAUAUUUGUCAGUUUAUGCCGGUUCGAGUGGCAGGCUGGCUAUCAAGAAUUGGGUACAGCUUUAUUUCAGGCGGAGAUAGAAUACAGUUUGUUCUGCCCAUCUUUACUUCUUUCUGAGCAGGGUAAACACAGACUAUUUGAGUACUUCUGGAAUAGUAAUGGUGCAAGAAUUGGAGAGUAUGGAGCUCUUGGCUGGUCAACUUGGCUGGAAAAAGAGGAAGAACAACGUCAAAAGGUGAUGAUGAAGGAGUCUUCCACUACUGCAGAUGAAGGGGGCUGGACAGGGUGGCAUGAACCUAAAAGUGCAGGUGCUGCUGAACGUCAAGACAAUGUAUCUGUCGAUGAUGUGGGUAUCGAAGGUUCUGAUGAUGAACCUAACACAGAUGAUAUGGAACAGAAAGAUGAUACUGAGGCUCUGAUGAAGUUGCUCGGUAUCAAUGCUGAUACUGAAGCUAAUGGUGAGGUCCAGGACGUUUCAACUUGGGUUAGAUGGUCAGAAGAAGAGUUAUCAAGAGACUCUGAUCAAUGGAUGCCCGUUCGCCCAGAAUCUGAUGGACUCACAGAUAAAGAAGGUGAUGAACAACUUCUGAGAGCAGUAUUAUUUGAGGAUGUCAGUGAGUACUUGUUCUCAAUAACUACAGAUGAAGUCCGUUUAUCAUUGGUGUACCAGUUCAUUGAUUUCUUUGGCGGAAGAAUUCCUCAAUGGUCUUCAACCAACAGUCCAAGUUGCACUGAGGGAACACUUAUGAUGGAGUCACUGCCAGAUUCUAUGUUGGAUGACUUGAGAAAAGUUCAGGAGAUGUUGAGAAAAACAGAUGGCUGUCAGAGCAGUAACAUCAUAGAAGAUAUUCUGAGCAGUUCCGAUAACAUAAAUAUGAGGAGUGAGAUGAUGAAGUUUGUUCGAAAUGUUGCCUUACAAUGUUUAAAUGCAUUUCCACAUGAUCACAUUUUAAAAGAAGUUGCACUUGUUGCUGAAGAGCUAUCAAAUACAAGGAUGAACUCUUGUAGCUCUGCAAUCACACCGUGUCGGACAUUGGCGAAGAAUCUCAUAAAAAGCAACCGUCAGGAUGUACAUCUAUGUGGCGUUUAUGCGAGAAGGGAGGCUGCAUUUGGGAACGUAGAAUAUGCAAGAAAGGCAUUCGACAUGGCAUUGUUAUCUAUUGAAGGGCUUCCUUGGGAUGCUAAAUCAAAUGCGUCACUUUUAUUUCUUUGGUAUGCGGAAGUGGAGCUUGCAAGUAGUUAUUCUGGCAGCUCAGAAUCAUUACCACGUGCAUUGCACAUUCUUUCUUGCUUGGGAUGUGGGAUAAAGUAUAGUCCAUAUAAAAGUCAACCAUCAAGUUUGCAACUACUGAGGGCACGCCAAGGAUUCAAAGAACAAAUAAGGAUGAUACAGACAACGUGGAUACGUGGGACUAUAGAUGAUAAUUCUGUUGCUUCUGUUUGUUCUGCUGCUUUAUUCGAAGAGCUGACUACUGGACGGGAAGCUAGUAUGGAAGUUCUCAAUCAGGCUCUUUCCACAGUGCUUCCAGAAAAAAGAAGUCAAAUUCAUCAACUUGAAUUAUUAUUCAACUUUUAUGUGCGCCUGCUCUGGAAGCAUCGUUCUCAAUCAGAACUAGCAAACGUUUGGAAUUUUGUUGUGCAAGGGUUGCAGAUAUAUCCAUUCAGCCCUAAACUUCACAAUGCAAUUGUUCAAAUUGGACAUCUUCAUACAUCACCCAGUAAGCUGCGAUGGAUCAUUGACGACUACUUAGACAAGAAACCAUCUGUAACACUUUGUCUCUUUGCAUUGUCAUAUGAGAUUACUAGAGGAAGUUCCCAUCAUAGAGUACAUAGAAUCUUUGAAAGGGCAUUGGCUGACAACAUGUUGCGAAAUUCUGUACUUCUCUGGCGUUUGUACAUAUCAUAUGAGAUUCAUGUAGCAAGUGACCUGUCUGCAGCAAGACGAAUUUACUUCCGUGCUAUCCACACAUGCCCAUGGUCAAAAAGGCUAUGGCUUGAUGGUUUCACUAAACUAAGCUCUGUGUUAACUGCAAAAGAGCUCUCAGAUCUCUUGGAAGUUAUGCGUGACAAAGAGCUCAAUGUGAGGACUGAUGUCUAUGAGAUCCUUUUGCAAGAUGAGAUGGAUGUGUCAUAAUGUCAGAUGUAGGGGGAUUUUGUAUAUUUCACGUUAUUGUGGCCUACUUUUGCUACGGUUCUACUUUCUUCAACUCCAAUAUACAGACUCAAGGAGAGGAGGAUUGUAUAUCAUGAUUAUAUGUACAGAACAUGUGCUCGUAUGUGCCAUUGUCAUAGAAAGAAAACACCAGGUGAAGACCGCAAAAAUAAGCUUUUGUGGGGGGCAAUGGUAACUGUUGUAUUCAUCAUUCAAUUGAAGGAAGUGCCUUAAAAGAGCUACCUCAUAGAAGAGACUUUUGUGGACCUUUUUUACAAAACUGAAAAAUGGUCUUCUACCUCCUUCCUUUUCAUUUGAGUAGCUUUGCUUCUAUCUCGAGAAUAACUAGGUGUUGCAUAUAUUGAUAAAGACUUGGGGGCUGUUUACUGAACGGUUACUGACUUUUAUCG